CCCGUGCUCUGUUAGUACCAUUCGAAAGUGCGCGUUGAACGGUCCAUAGUGUCGUUAUUCAAGAGCGUAAUUCCAUACCUCGCCGCAGUGGCACCACAGUCUGGUGUGUAAUUUUACCGGGAAUCGAUCGAAACCGAAAAUCACAACAAAAGGAACGCCGCCGCGUGUGUUUUCAAGGAAGAGUUUCACUGGUUGGUGAAUAAUCAGCAUUGGUACUUCUGUGCAUUGGUGAUUACGAUAUAUUGUUGGCUUUGUGCUUUUCAGUGUUACUUCGAGUGGAGCAGCAAAUUGAAAAUAAUUUAAGACAACAAAAGCCUGUGUUUCGAAAAAUACACUCAACAGGCUGCAGCUCACUUACACACACGGUGCUUUUGUGUGUGCCCCCCAAAAAGUGGAGUUUUAGAGUUUGAGGCUGUGCUGGAGUUGCAGUGUCUGCGAAAAGCGUUACAAGUUGAUUCGAGCAGGGAGAAAAGGGAAGCGGAUUUACUGCACUGCUCUUGUUGCAGACAAGUGGAAAGAGGUUAUCAACACCAAUCUCUUCGGUAUCGUCGUCGUCUCACCGCUCCAAGGCGUCGCCUCCUGUGCUGCUGAAUUGCUGUCCAGCCAGGCUUCGUCCGACCACGUGCAUGUGUGUUGGUUGGUUGGUACCGCGCCAUAGCUAUUGCUGGAUGCUGUGAAGAUUAUCAAAACAAUCCACCCGAGAAGAUUCGAAGGGAGUCCGAAAACGAGUUUUUGCGCGGCGCAUCCCUCCUGAAGAGAGAUCAACGAGCUGCAACCUGAACGGAUUUCGUUAGUGUGUGCGGCGGAGGAGUUAGCGAGUGCAUGCCUGCCUGUAUUAGUGUGAAUCCUGCACACCUGACCGAGUGCAUUCCCGAGUGUGUUGUUUUGAAUACGGCGGUGAAUCCGAGAAGGGUUCCCUCCGAAGAAGAGCGUGGAUAUAGCGAAGAAGCGAAAAAGUAGCCCACCCGGUUUACGUUGACCGUAUACAACACAGAGAAGAGUGUGCUUGGUGUGUUAAAGCAUUAAAUCAGCAUCCGACCAGAGGCUCGUAAGUGUGUCGUCAAAACAAAAACGCGUGUGCAAAAAAAGAAGAGUAGCGUGAUAAGGAAGGACGUGUG